UGGGUGGCAACCUUUAAAUUGUGCCCCCCCACUUUCAGCAGGCACCAGUAUUCUCUGGCAGAAGCUUCUACCCCACCACCCCACCACAAGGCAGAAAUCCCGAACUCUGCACCCCCAGUCUGGAAAGGAAGUGAGAAGCUCAGGUCAGAGAGAUGAGGCAAAGGAGAUGAGAAGACAGAAUUCUGGUGUAUGAGUACGUGUUGCAGGAUGGAGACAGAAGCCUGUUGACGGUGGAACAAGGUCAAGGUAGCACGCAGCAUGAGCUCCAGGACAAGGGGUCUGGAUGACAAGCAGAGAGGCCGAGCAGGUCAUUGUUUACCAACAAGGAUAAAUAAGCGGGGGAGAAGUUUAGACUCUUGGGGAAUCUCUUCAUGGACACAUUUUGGGUUCCCCAACAGCAGC